rnacentral:rRNA from 1 species
UACAGAGACUGCAAGCGUUAUUCGGAUUCACUGGGCGUAAAGGGUGCGCAGGCGGCCAAGUGUGUUAGGCGUGAAAGCCCGGGGCUUAACCCCGGAAUUGCACCUAAAACUACAUGGCUAGAGCAUUGGAGAGGGUAGCGGAAUUCACGGUGUAGCAGUGAAAUGCGUAGAUAUCGUGAGGAACACCAGAGGCGAAGGCGGCUACCUGGACAAUUGCUGACGCUCAGGCACGAAAGCGUGGGGAGCAAACAGG